GAUGAACGCUAGCGGCAGGCUUAACACAUGCAAGUCGAGGGGCAGCAUGACACGGAGAUUCGUCGAAGUGUUGAUGGCGACCGGCGCAAGGGUGCGUAACGCGUGAGCAACUUGCCCGUUUCUGGGGAAUAACCGGUGGAAACGCCGACUAAUACCCCAUAGUAUAACGAAGAGGCAUCUUUUUGUAUUAAAGAACUUCGGAAACGGAUAGGCUCGCGUGACAUUAGCUAGAUGGCGGGGUAACGGCCCACCAUGGCGACGAUGUCUAGGGGUUCUGAGAGGAAGGUCCCCCACACUGGAACUGAGACACGGUCCAGACUCCUACGGGAGGCAGCAGUGAGGAAUAUUGGUCAAUGGUCUGACGACUGAACCAGCCAUGCCGCGUGAAGGUGACGGCCCUAUGGGUCUUAAACUUCUUUUGUAAGGGAGCAAUAAGGUUCACGUGUGGACUGAUGAGAGUACCUUACGAAUAAGCAUCGGCUAACUCCGUGCCAGCAGCC
rnacentral:rRNA from 1 species